GUUACAUGGUACUUUUAGUUGCGAUUACCAGCAGUCGUCUCUUCGUAGUAAACGCAACCAUACCGCCACCGCGGUAUGUGGCAUAGUACGAAGAGCACGACUGAAUCGAUAACAAUACGUUCCACGAAAUCAAUUUGUUACAUCACGUUAGCAUAUGCAACGGAUAUGACAACAUACAUAUUUUUUCAAACCAGAGCUGGAAAUUUGCGCCUUUUUGAUCUACGUUUUGUGAUACUUUUACAACCUUUUCGAACAUUUUUACGACCCCUAAAAGAAAAGGCCUCGUCUCAUAUCCAGAAAAGCGUAUAGAUAUUUCAUAUACAAGUUGGGACAAAAGUUUUCCAAAGUGUGCCCUACCUAGAGUCACACGGAAAUAUAAAGAAAAUAAUAGAGAUAUAAAUUCUUUACGGAAGGGAUGUUCAACUUUAGAGCGCCGCCUGUUUCAACGUCGCUCAUCGAUCAAAAGCGAGAAACCUUACAACGUGAGAAUUUUAACCUUAAAGAUGAACUGUAUGUAUAAUACAGAGGGCAACUAACGAGAUUACAAUAUAUAUUAUAACUACUUUAUUUGCAUGCAACGUUUCACAAUUUUGUAAAAUUAGAAGUUCACAAAUAUCCUUUUUUUAAACCUAAUCGAUGUUUGCUAUGUAAUACAAAAUUAUCGUUAAUUUGUUAAAAAGUCAAUAACAUAGCAAAACACGUAAUAUCUUGCAUACUUGAGCAAAAAAACCGUGUAAAUCGAGAUUAUGGCUGUUUGUGUAAAAAACUAUGUAAAUUGAAAUAAAAGAAAUUUGCAUAAUUUGUUAGCUAUUUAAUGAAAUGUAUGUACAUAUUUCAAGGUAAAAUAAAAAUAUCAAAACAAAAAGUAUCAGUCUAUUCCCGAAAAAACAAAUAUACACUUUACAAUUUUCAUUUUGAUACCUAAACAUAGGAAUUUUCUUUUCACUUGAUUUUUUCAAAUA